UAAAACCUGGGCCUGUAUCAUUUUAUAGAUAAAAGUCAUGGGCUCUAAGUUAGUGGUUAAAAUAUUAAAGAACUAUCUUAGCCAUAGCAGGGAAGCCGAAGCACAAAGGUUUCAAGAUGGAAUUAACCAUAGAAAGCAGACAAUGAAACGAAAAAACAUUAUGAAUAGAGAAGAUCCCAAGUCUAAGUGCUUAAAAAAAAACCGACAAAAAAAAACCGGUUUAGCGGAAAACCCUCGCUUGGAUUAUAAACUUGUGAAAAAGAUUUUGGAAUAUCAGUUGUGUACCAAAAACAAAUAACUUAAUUAAUAAAGGUUUUGAGUGGUAUA